CCCUUAGAUGUUCUGGGCCGCACGCGCGCUACACUGACGAAUGCAACGAGCUUAUAACCUUGGCCGAAAGGUCUGGGUAAUCUCCAAAUUUCGUCGUGAUGGGGAUAGAUUAUUGCAAUUAUUAAUCUUCAACGAGGAAUGCCUAGUAAGCGCAAGUCAUCAGCUUGCGUUGAUUAUGUCCCUGCCCUUUGUACACACCGCCCGUCGCUCCUACCGAUUGAAUGGUCCGGUGAAGCGUUCGGACCGUGGCCUUUGGACGGUUCGCCGUCUGUUGGCUGCGGGAAGUUCGUUAAACCUUAUCAUUUAGAGGAAGGAGAAGUCGUAACA
rnacentral:rRNA from 1 species